rnacentral:rRNA from 1 species
GGGUUGUGAGGUUAAGCGACUAAGCGUACACGGUGGAUGCCCUGGCAGUCAGAGGCGAUGAAGGACGUGCUAAUCUGCGAAAAGCGUCGGUAAGGUGAUAUGAACCGUUAUAACCGGCGAUGUCCGAAUGGGGAAACCCAGUGCAAUUCGUUGCACUAUCGUUAACUGAAUACAUAGGUUAACGAGGCGAACCGGGGGAACUGAAACAUCUAAGUACCCCGAGGAAAAGAAAUCAACCGAGAUUCCCCCAGUAGCGGCGAGCGAACGGGGAGCAGCCCAGAGUCUGAAUCAGCUUGUGUGUUAGUGGAACGGUCUGGAAAGUCCGACGGUACAGGGUGAUAGUCCCGUACACCAAAAUGCACAGGCUGUGAACUCGAAGAGUAGGGCGGGACACGUGGUAUCCUGUCUGAAUAUGGGGGGACCAUCCUCCAAGGCUAAAUACUCCUGACUGACCGAUAGUGAACCAGUACCGUGAGGGAAAGGCGAAAAGAACCCCGGCGAGGGGAGUGAAAAAGAACCUGAAACCGUGUACGUACAAGCAGUGGGAGCACCUUCGGGUGUGACUGCGUACCUUUUGUAUAAUGGGUCAGCGACUUAUAUUCUGUAGCAAGGUUAACCGUAUAGGGGAGCCGCAGGGAAACCGAGUCUUAACUGGGCGUUAAGUUGCAGGGUAUAGACCCGAAACCCGGUGAUCUAGCCAUGGGCAGGUUGAAGGUUGGGUAACACUAACUGGAGGACCGAACCGACUAAUGUUGAAAAAUUAGCGGAUGACUUGUGGCUGGGGGUGAAAGGCCAAUCAAACCGGGAGAUAGCUGGUUCUCCCCGAAAGCUAUUUAGGUAGCGCCUCGUGAAUUCAUCUUCGGGGGUAGAGCACUGUUUCGGCUAGGGGGUCAUCCCGACUUACCAACCCGAUGCAAACUACGAAUACCGAAGAAUGUUAUCACGGGAGACACACGGCGGGUGCUAACGUCCGUCGUGAAGAGGGAAACAACCCAGACCGCCAGCUAAGGUCCCAAAGUCAUGGUUAAGUGGGAAACGAUGUGGGAAGGCACAGACAGCCAGGAUGUUGGCUUAGAAGCAGCCAUCAUUUAAAGAAAGCGUAAUAGCUCACUGGUCGAGUCGGCCUGCGCGGAAGAUGUAACGGGGCUAAACCAUGCACCGAAGCUGCGGCAGCGACACUAUGUGUUGUUGGGUAGGGGAGCGUUCUGUAAGCCUGCGAAGGUGUGCUGUGAGGCAUGCUGGAGGUAUCAGAAGUGCGAAUGCUGACAUAAGUAACGAUAAAGCGGGUGAAAAGCCCGCUCGCCGGAAGACCAAGGGUUCCUGUCCAACGUUAAUCGGGGCAGGGUGAGUCGACCCCUAAGGCGAGGCCGAAAGGCGUAGUCGAUGGGAAACAGGUUAAUAUUCCUGUACUUGGUGUUACUGCGAAGGGGGGACGGAGAAGGCUAUGUUAGCCGGGCGACGGUUGUCCCGGUUUAAGCAUGUAGGCUGGUUGUCCGGUGCAAAUCCGGAUAAUCAAGGCUGAGGUGUGAUGACGAGGCACUACGGUGCUGAAGUAACAAAUGCCCUGCUUCCGGUGAAAAGCCUCUAAGCAUCAGGUAACAUCAAAUCGUACCCCAAACCGACACAGGUGGUCAGGUAGAGAAUACCAAGGCGCUUGAGAGAACUCGGGUGAAGGAACUAGGCAAAAUGGUGCCGUAACUUCGGGAGAAGGCACGCUGGUGUGUAGGUGAAGUCCCUGCGGAUGGAGCUGAGACCAGUCGAAGAUACCAGCUGGCUGCAACUGUUUAUUAAAAACACAGCACUGUGCAAACACGAAAGUGGACGUAUACGGUGUGACGCCUGCCCGGUGCCGGAAGGUUAAUUGAUGGGGUUAUCCGUAAGGAGAAGCUCUUGAUCGAAGCCCCGGUAAACGGCGGCCGUAACUAUAACGGUCCUAAGGUAGCGAAAUUCCUUGUCGGGUAAGUUCCGACCUGCACGAAUGGCGUAAUGAUGGCCAGGCUGUCUCCACCCGAGACUCAGUGAAAUUGAACUCGCUGUGAAGAUGCAGUGUACCCGCGGCAAGACGGAAAGACCCCGUGAACCUUUACUAUAGCUUGACACUGAACAUUGAGCCUUGAUGUGUAGGAUAGGUGGGAGGCUUUGAAGCGUGGACGCCAGUCUGCGUGGAGCCAACCUUGAAAUACCACCCUUUAAUGUUUGAUGUUCUAACGUUGGCCCCUUACCGGGGUUGCGGACAGUGUCUGGUGGGUAGUUUGACUGGGGCGGUCUCCUCCCAAAGCGUAACGGAGGAGCACGAAGGUUAGCUAAUCCCUGGUCGGACAUCAGGAGGUUAGUGCAAUGGCAUAAGCUAGCUUGACUGCGAGCGUGACGGCGCGAGCAGGUGCGAAAAGCAGGUCAUAGUGAUCCGGUGGUUCUGAAUGGAAGGGCCAUCGCUCAACGGAUAAAAGGUACUCCGGGGAUAACAGGCUGAUACCGCCCAAGAGUUCAUAUCGACGGCGGUGUUUGGCACCUCGAUGUCGGCUCAUCACAUCCUGGGGCUGAAGUAGGUCCCAAGGGUAUGGCUGUUCGCCAUUUAAAGUGGUACGCGAGCUGGGUUUAGAACGUCGUGAGACAGUUCGGUCCCUAUCUGCCGUGGGCGCUGGAGAAUUGAGGGGGGCUGCUCCUAGUACGAGAGGACCGGAGUGGACGCAUCACUGGUGUUCGGGUUGUCAUGCCAAUGGCACUGCCCGGUAGCUAAAUGCGGAAGAGAUAAGUGCUGAAAGCAUCUAAGCACGAAACUUGCCCCGAGAUGAGUUCUCCCUGAGACUUUAAGUCUCCUGAAGGAACGUUGAAGACGACGACGUUGAUAGGCCGGGUGUGUAAGCGCAGCGAUGCGUUGAGCUAACCGGUACUAAUGAACCGUGAGGCUUAACCUUACAACGCCGAAG